AUCCAGCUGACGAGUUCCAAAUGGGACAAAAAGCGCGUCCUAGAU
rnacentral:hammerhead_ribozyme from 1 species